rnacentral:lncRNA from 1 species
AGAUUCUCAGUUGUAUCAUUUGUAGUAAGUACUAUAUUUAUUGUAGAGUUUAUACGUGUUGUUAUAGUGGAGUUCUGAUGCUGUUGAAAAAAGAGAAUUUGCUGGAAAAAAGGCCAAGCUAGCAGCAGCAGAGUUGGGGAAAUUAUCCAGACGGGUGUGUGGUAAGCCAUUUAACUUCGAUUCGAAGAGUUUAUGUUCAGAUAUAUUUUAUUUAUAUGUAAGAAGAAAAAUUAAAUUUCCUUGUCAAGCUCCAAAUAAGGCUUUGGAUUGUAUCGAACCUUGAUUUGAGUGAUAGGGAAUUUAUUUAUAACUUCAAUGGAAGGCCUGAAGAAGGGUUUACCUCUUAUUCCAAAAAAGUAAAAACUAAAAUUUUCUUCUGUAUGAUGUCAAUUCUUGAGGUCUAACUUCUUGAUAAAGCACCUUCGCCCUGUCCCUGUGGCUACACUGCCUUGACAUAUUGAAACCUUGUUUUUUUAUCUGUUUUAAAAAAAUAUUUUAUAUUCAUUACUUAACAUAAAUUAGGACGAGCCUUGGUGCAACAAUAAAGUUACUGCUUUGUGACCUGACUCAUGUGUUCAAAUCCUGUAAACAGCCUUUCUGCUCUUUGGGCUAAGGUUAUUUACAUCUACCAUCCUCAACCCUUACUAUCAGGAGCCUCGUACACUGGGUUCUUUUUUAUUCUUUACUUAUUAAAUGACAAUUAACAUUGACAUCCUUUUCCAUUUUUCCAUGGUAGGUUUUCUUCUCAAUUCCAGUAUAUCUUAUCAAUGAAUCUUUUUUAAGGACUUUUAUUAACCUUAGGUUCUCGUGUCAGUGUAUGAAUUUCAAUUUCUUCAUUUAUACGAAACUUAUCUAGGGCUUUCAAAAAUAUUUGAACUGAACUAAAUUGAUUCUAAAUUGAAUUGUAUAAAAAAAUUAAACUGAAUUGUUGUAUUAGUUUAAUUUUUGAAGACUGAAUUGUUCUUAUAUAAAACUGUUUGAACUAAUCUGGACUAUAACUUAUGAAAUUGGAAAAUAUUCUAAAAUGAAAUGUCCAUUGGUAGUAAUUCAAUCCAUUCAUAUAGUUCAAGCAAUUCUAAAUUUAGAAUAAUUUAAUUUGAUUCAAUUCACUAAAACCGUGAUGCUGUUACCAUUAUACUAUUUAGUUCAGUUCUGUUGAAUCACCUUUAAAAUUCAAUUUCAUAAUAAUUCAAUUCAAUUCUAAUUGCUUAGCCCUAAACUUAGUAGGUCCUAGUCAAUUCCUUCUCUUCUUAACGGGGGAGGAAUGUGUAGUGAUCAAUCCAUAUGUUUUCAAAGACAAGAUGGGGACCAAUAAUCUUUAUUAUUUACUGGCUAGUCGGUUUGUUCGGUUUUCAAUCCCUAUAAAACAAUGAUUUGGGAGAAAAUGUUUUUUAUGUUGUUACAUGCUUUGCUAUAGAGAACAGUAGGAUACAUUAUCCUCCAAUGGCUUUUUACUUUCCUCUCCUCUUUCUAACAAACUUUUGAGAAUUUAAUAAUCUUCCACAAGAUUAAAUUUCAAUUUUUGACCUGUUUUCUUGUGCUAAUCCAUGUGUUGGUCAACCUAUUGUCAAGGUGAAAUAAUUGUAUAUUUGGUUUUUAUUAAUGGUUUUUUUCUGCAGGUAGUCAAGCUGGGCAAUCGUUCAUUUCUCAUGUCACUACAAAGGUAGGAUUAUUUAUUUUUUCACUAGGUAUUAUUGUUGUUUAUGCCUAGGCUAGUGUGUUCUUGACAAUCUAGUCUAGUUUGUCCUAGGUGUCAAGGACCAUGGUCCUGUAAGCUUGUCUUAUUUGGUAAAUGCUCAAGAAUGAUUUUCAUUUGUAAUGUGCCCUCAUUCAAUCUACUUAAAAGUGUUAAUAGUGCAUUUUUUUAAACCGUAUUGGGCUAGCUCAACCAGUCAAACUAGGAACCAGUUUGGUUAUACCCUCAACAAUUGGUGACGAUGAAGGAGUGUUGGUGGUGGCAAUUGGAGCUUUGGUUACGUUGAUGGGAGCUUCAAUGAUGUUGAUGGUGAUGGGAGCUCAACAAUGAGGAUGGUAAUGGGAUGUUUAACAAUAAUGAUGGGAGGGUCGGACAAUUAUGGGAGGGUUAGUGUUGGUGAUAUGGGGGUUGAUGAUGACCUGCGACAGUUAUAUUAGGGUCGUUGGUAGCCAACAAUGGGAGAACAAUGGGUUCGUCGCGAUUGUGUUUGCGGAGAUGGAGAUAUGGUUUUGAUUCACAUUUGAGAUCCCUAAGGGAAACAUGGUUGUGCUUUUUUUAACUCUAAAGUUGGGUAAAUGAACCCAACCUGAAAAGGCCAAUAUGAUUUGAUAUUUAUUGUGUUAGAAAAACCAAGUCCACACAGACUCUGUUCAAGAUCAACAUGUCUGACGAUCAUCCAAUUUUG